rnacentral:rRNA from 1 species
UACAGAGGUCUCAAGCGUUGUUCGGAUUCAUUGGGCGUAAAGGGCGCGUAGGCGGCCGACCAAGUCGGGUGUGAAAUCCCUCGGCUCAACCGAGGAACUGCACUCGAUACUGGUUGGCUAGAGUCCGGGAGGGGAUGGUGGAAUUCCCAGUGUAGCGGUGAAAUGCGUAGAUAUUGGGAAGAACACCGGUGGCGAAGGCGGCCAUCUGGACCGGAACUGACGCUGAGGCGCGAAAGCCAGGGGAGCGAAUGGG